UCCAUUCCAUAUAUCCGAGGGGCAAACUCCUUGGCCCAUCAUCCUUACGUGUCCUGAUUUAUCCUUCUCCAUUAUUUGUGCAAAUAUAUCAUUUGGGGCAAUUGCAUCUUCAGAACCUUCAGGAAGUUGAUCACUACAUUGUACCAUUGCUGACUGUGUACAAGAAUUUUAAAAAUAAUGCACACAGUAAAAUUUCAUCAUAUAUUACAUAAAAUGAACGAAUGUAUCAUUAGAUACAAGUUUGCUUGAGACAUCAACACUUGAGUUUCCAUUCUGAGAAACAAAACAUGAACUAAAUAACUAAACACGCGAUGGGCACUGUCCAUGUUCCUUUUUCUAGGAAAAUGUAAAUUGUCAGUUUACUAACAUGUAAAAAAAAUUAUGAAAUGAAAUAAAUAUAAGAAACAAAUAUUACCAAUUUAGCUUUCACUUGCGCAAAUGACGUCUUUCCGGUUCUUUGAUUCAUUAACUUCUCUGCUCGAGCAUUUUUAUAUCUCUUACGUGUACUCUAAUAGCAAGUAAAAAAGUGAAUGCAUAGGUUAAAUUAAAUUAUCAAUAUAUAGGGAAGAAAUAGAAUACACGUCUGCAUCUCUAGUAAUAAAGAAGUUGAAUCAAUUGCUCUUCUGCUACUCUAUCAUCGAUGUAAUGUAUUAUAUACUUAAUAGGUACGUCAACCCAAUAUCUUGUUUUUAGAUGAUGCUUCCAAUUUCUCCAUUUAGUCCCAAUAGAGGUCAAAAUCCACUUCUCAGCAAUGAUGGGAACAUCAAAUCAUAACUACAUUACACAAAGCCCGCCAAUAUUAAAAAUAUCAAUAUAUAAUGAACGUGUAGUCAUUGAAAAAGGUAGAAUCAAUCCAAAAGCAUAGGACAGACCAAAAAAGCAUGAUAAACAAAAUAACCUUAACUCUUUAAAGUAUUAGUACAUUUACGAUUUCAAGCAUUUCAACUUUUUUUUUCCUUUGGCAUAGCGUGCCAAUUUUUAACAUUUAGCGGACAAUGCAUACCAUUUUUUGCUAUUGAACCUAAAAAAUGGGUAAGCUUACUAUAUUUACCACCUAUAGGUUGACCAAAUUCAUUAUAUUCAACAGAUAUGCGUGGUAGAUUUCAUGGACGACCCCAAAUAUCUGCCAUAAAGUAGGGCCUCUAAUUUUAGCUCCACAUGCAUCACCUUGAAGCACAAAAAACAUAAUAUGAUUAUACAUUAAAGAGUUUACGUAGCUUAUUAUAGUGCUUAAUUGCUCAUUACCUUCCUCUUGUUCUUGUUCGAUUCCAACACUCAAUAUCCCUUAUCGGCAAUGGUGGAACUCUCUCAUGAAUAUGAUCUGAAUGCCUGGCCAUACAUAGAUAUAAAUAUUAGAAUCAAUAGCAUUUUUAUUGAUAGGUAUAUAUCAAGAAAGUUCGGACACGGUCAGACAUUCAGAUGAGACUGUUCCACCAUUGCUGAUAAGGGCUAUGAGUGUUGGAAUCGAACAAGAACAAGAGGAAGAUAAUGAACAAUUAAGCACUAUAAUAAGCUGCGUAAACUCUUUAAUGUAUGGACUAAUCAUAUUAUGGUUUUUGUGUUUCAAAGUGAUGCAUCUAGAGCUAAAAUUAGAGGCCCCACUUAUAUGAUAGAUAUUUGGGGUCGUCCACGAAAUCUACCACACAUAUUUGUUGAAUAUAAUGAAUUUGGUCAACCUAUAGGUGGUGAAUAUAGUAAGCUUACCCAUUUUUUAGGUUCAAUAGCAAAAAAUGGUAUGCAUUGUCCGCUAAAUGUUAAAAAUUGGCACGCUAUGCCAAAGGAAAAAAAAAGUUGAAAUGCUUGAAAUCGUAAAUGUACUAAUACUUAAAAGAGUUAAGGUUAUUUUGUUUAUCAUGCUUUUUUGGUCUGUCCUAUGCUUUUGGAUUGAUUCUACCUUUUUCAAUGACUACACGUUCAUUAUAUAUUGAUAUUUUUAAUAUUGGCGGGCUUUGUGUAAUGUAGUUAUGAUUUGAUGUUCCCAUCAUUGCUGAGAAGUGAAUUUUGACCUCUAUUGGGACUAAAUGGAGAAAUUGGAAGCAUCAUCUAAAAACAAGAUAUUGGGUUGACGUACCUAUUAAGUAUAUAAUACAUUACAGCGAUGAUAGAGUAGCAGAAGAGCAAUGGAUUCAACUUCUUUAUUACUAGAGAUGCAGACGUUUAUUCUAUUUCUUCCCUAUAUAUUGAUAAUUUAAUUUAACCUAUGCAUUCACUUUUUUUACUUGCUAUUAGAAUACACGUAAGAGAUAUAAAAAUGCUCGAGCAGAGAAGUUAAUGAAUCAAAGAACCGGAAAGACGUCAUUUGCGCAAGUGAAAGCUAAAUUGGUAAUAUUUGUUUCUUAUAUUUAUUUCAUUUCAUAAUUUUUUUUACAUGUUAGUAAACUGACAAUUUACAUUUUCCUAGAAAAAGGAACAUGGACAGUGCCCAUCGCGUGUUUAGUUAUUUAGUUCAUGUUUUGUUUCUCAGAAUGGAAACUCAAGUGUUGAUGUCUCAAGCAAACUUGUAUCUAAUGAUACAUUCGUUCAUUUUAUGUAAUAUAUGAUGAAAUUUUACUGUGUGCAUUAUUUUUAAAAUUCUUGUACACAGUCAGCAAUGGUACAAUGUAGUGAUCAACUUCCUGAAGGUUCUGAAGAUGCAAUUGCCCCAAAUGAUGUAUUUGCACAAAUAAUGGGGAAGGAUAAAUCAGGACACGUAAGGAUGAUGGGCCAAGGAGUUUGCCCCUAGAACCAUGUACAAUUGGAGUACCAAAAAAAAGUCGCUCGACUAGAGGCAAUUCUUGAAGCACAACAAAGAAUUUGUGCUUCGCAAGAACACAAAGGGCAAGAUGUAAGAGUUUAUGAGUCGAGCUUACUAAAUGCUACUUCAACUGAGAUGUCAGGUUGGAACAUAUGUUUCUCUCCGAAGUUUUCUCAGAAACAAAAUCGUUGCUAAAGGAUGUAUUUAUAAGAUCGAUCCAAAUACAAAAGUUGGAGGACAAGCAUUAGGAUUGAAUUGUUGUGAAAUAAAUGUUAAAGCUGUAGUUGAACCUCAAGAGCAAUUGAUCAGGCCGUACGACAACUUCCAAGAUUUGUCUGAAACAGUUGGUCAUAUGAUUGAUUGACCACGUUCUUUGGUGACACCUAUUGAGCAAUUUCUCGAUUCACAUUUGGAUUCCAGGUUAUGCAGAUUGUUCAGAUGAUAGAAGAAGCUCAAGACAAUCUAUGUACCUACAAAUAUGUUAUGCUCUUUUGGAUGGAUUAGGAAUUUUUAGCACUAGUGUUGUUUAUGUAGUUGAUGUAGAACCAAUGUACCUACUAUGUUACACUCUUAUGAUAGAUUACUAUUUUGGAUAUAUACGGCUUUGCGUUUUAUUUUGAAAGGGAUUAUAAAAGUUUGUUGGAUGUUAA